CGAAUACUUACACAAGGCACUGUGUAUAAUGAAUAGUCUAUAUUUAGUCUAUAUAUUUCAUCAAAAUAAAUCUAUGAAUGACUGCUUCAUGUCUAUAUGGAAAUGAAAGAUUUACAGUAUAUUUCAAAUCUGUUUGCUUUCAGCAAGACAUUGGGUCUAUUAGGAAAACCAAACACUGUAAGAUGUGUAUCACGAUGUUCUUUCAGAUCCUAACAACAUUAACACUGAUUCGUUUUGACUAAGAAAUAAAAAUACUGUUUUAAAUUGUAAUAAUAAUUUAAUAAUAAGAGAAAAACAACUACUCAUUUUAACAAGAUAUUUAUGCUUGUUUAGUCAUUUCUAUUUUUCUAUACUCUUUGAAGCACUAUUAAUAAUUCACCCAUUAUUUUCUUUUAGUUUUGCUAUAGUCCUCUGUACAACAGUUUUUAUUAAAUUAUUGGUCAAACGAGGGUAAAUUAUUUAGCAAUUAACCAAAACCAUGUUAUAUUUGUUACUUCAAUAAUUCAUUUAUUAAACACUUAUUACAGUGCUUCAUCAGUGUUAUGUGAUGAGUUAAGACUCUUUUUCUCUUCUCACUUGUUUUUUUGUUUGUCUGUUUGUUUUCUCUUCCUCACUUUAGAAGAGAAAGGACAAAAUGGCGCAGAUGGUCCUAUUAAUGAAGAGACAAAUUUGUCCAGCGAUCCUAUGUCUGCUGCUGAAGUGAAGUCAGUGAUGGAGGGAGAUUCAGUCACUCUACCAACUGGUCAUACUGAUCUACAGAAAGAUGAUGUGAUACGAUGGAGGUUUAGACAAGAGGAAUCUCUUUUAGCUGAAAUCAUCUCCACAUCUGAAGAGAGAUUCAGAAACACACAC